GGAUUAGUGCGCCGGUCGUGCCUUCGGUAUGUACUGGUGUUACUGGUUCCUACCUUCUGACGAACCGUCAUGUCAUUAAUUUGGUGUGGCGGGGAAUCAGGACUGUUACUUUGAAAAAAUUAGAGUGUUCAAAGCAGGCGCACGCCUGUAUACAUUAGCAUGGAAUAAUAGAAUAGGACU
rnacentral:rRNA from 1 species